UCACUCGGUGGAUGUUUUGGGUGAUUUUCCGACAUCUCUGACCCUAUUACGGUAAGUUUCCAGUACGGUUUCCGGUGGUUGGACCUAAGGUUUUGGACCUAAGGUUUUAUCUGGCGAUUGAAGGCCGUUCUUCUCCGGUCUCGAAGAAGGAGGGUAACUCUAUCCUUGUUCUAAGUGUUGUAUGUUUUGCAUGUGGGUUCUGAGACUGUUUUUUUUAUUUCAAACUGAUUAUUGUUCAUGGCUUCUAAUAUGAAUGCUAGUACAUCCUCAGUGGACUCCACCAGUCCCCUUUUUGUCUACUCCUCUGAUGUUCCUGGAGGCUCUCUUGUGUCCACUCCCUUCUCGGGGAUGGCUAUGGGGGUUGAAGGAGGAAGAUGAUUGUCGCGUUAUCUGCUAAAAACAAAAUCGAUUUUGUUGAUCGCACCUGUCCCCAGCCAGUCACUAUUGUGACUUAACAAAGACCUGCUAGUACCUCCUCAGUGGACUCUACCAGCCCCCUUUUUGUUUACUCCUCUGGUGUUCCUGGAGUCUCUCUUGUGUCCACUUCCUUCUCAGGCAGUGGUUAUGGGGGUUGGAGGAGGAAAAUGAUUGUCGCGUUAUCUGCUAAAAACAAAAUU
rnacentral:lncRNA from 1 species